AUCAGGAUUCUUCCACUAACAUAACACAGAAAUCUGCAGGAUUAUUUAAGGAUUCUGCUUGAUGGAAAUUUGUCUAUCUUCUUGUUUUGCGUUUUCCCUCGUGUUUGUGGUAACAUAUCAUAUUAAUGAGCCUUGGUUUUCUAGUCCACAACACUGGCACAUUAACCAAGUAGGCUUCUUCCCUGUGGCAGACAAAUAAGGAGUCUAAGGCCCAAGGAG
rnacentral:misc_RNA from 1 species